AGUGAACGCUGGCGGUAGGCCUAACACAUGCAAGUCGAACGGCAGCACAGUAAGAGCUUGCUCUUACGGGUGGCGAGUGGCGGACGGGUGAGGAAUACAUCGGAAUCUACUUUUUCGUGGGGGAUAACGUAGGGAAACUUACGCUAAUACCGCAUACGACCUACGGGUGAAAGCAGGGGAUCUUCGGACCUUGCGCGAUUGAAUGAGCCGAUGUCGGAUUAGCUAGUUGGCGGGGUAAAGGCCCACCAAGGCGACGAUCCGUAGCUGGUCUGAGAGGAUGACCAGCCCCGCUGGAACUGAGACACGGCCCAGCCUCCUAGGGGAGGCAGCAGUGGGGAAUAUUGGAAAAGGGGCGCAAGCCUGAUCCAGCCAUACCGCGGGGGUGAAGAAGGCCUUGGGGUUGUAAACCCCUUUUGUUGGGAAAAAAAAGCAGCAGGUUAAUACCCCGUUGUUCUGACGGUACCCAAAGAAUAGGCACCGGCUAACUUCU
rnacentral:rRNA from 1 species